ensembl:lncRNA
GUGGUUGCUCAGCAGGCCGUGGGUUUGAGAAACGACCCGGGCGUGAGUGAUUUAACCACUCGGUUCCAAAAUUAGUCAGCCGUGCCCGCAGGUCGACGCAGAGCCCGGGCGCAUUGCCCGGGCUCCAUCCCCUGGACUUUCCCUUCUGGGCCUGGCGCGGCGGCGGCGGCCUCACGUGCUGCACUCUCGAGCCUGGGGCCGAGGCCGCCUCGGCCCACGCUCUCUGCACAGCCGUCCUCGGCCCGGGGCCUACGGUGGGCCCCGCAGCCCGCGGGAGAUAAGGGGCCAGAGCUCCGACCCCAGGACUCUGGCCCCCUGGUGCACCUGCACAGCCCUUCGGACGCCGCGUGGGCAGUACCACUAAAAAUAAGGAAGAGGAACCCAAGAGAACUAACUCAACCUUUUGAAUAGAGAGAAAGCACCGUCUAUGAACCAGAAAGCAGGCCCCGAGCAGAUACUGCAUCUGCUAAGGGUUUGAUUUUGGACUCUGCAGCCUCCAGAACUGUCUUCCCAUAAACAUCUGGUGAUCCCUGGCUGCCUUAAGAUUUCUUCCAAGAUUCCCCAAGAGCUGGUGGGCAGACUCUAUGUGCACACAUGCGGCUGCUCCCCCAGGGUUCUCAAAGCUGAGCUCAGUGCCAAGCAGCAGGAGCUGCCCCAUAUUCUCCCUUCUACCCUGCAGAGAACCUGCUCAGAAGAUCCAGAGCUCAGCUACAGUGGGGCUAAACAGCACUGCACCAAUGAACUCGAGCACCCAGCCACCCUGAGAAAGAUGGUUUUGAGAGGAAAACACAUUAUUUUUUCUAAACAGCAACUUAGAAAUAAAAUUUUGGACCAUGUCCUGCUUGCAAACUGAGGUUCAAUUCUCCUAUAAUGGGCCAGCUCUGGUCGUGCUGAGAGAGAAGGGCCAUUAGCAGAAAUGAAAAACAAGAAAAAUCUUUCAGUCCAUUAGGUUAAAAGAGGAUUUUUCUGUCCUUUAUUAUUUAUUAUUUGUGACUUCAGUUACUGUUUCCUGGAACAAAUGUUAUGGUUCUACUUCAGUGUCUAUUUACUGAAGCAAAUAGAUGCUUAUCAGCCGUCAGGCUACAAAUUGCUAAGCAGUCUGUAAGGGCUUUGCUGCUGUGGCCUCUUGCAGUUCUUUGAUGUCUUGUAAGGCAACUUAUUUUCUGUGCCUCAGACAGUUUCCAAAAUGACUGCAAUCAUGCAUGUGUGUG